rnacentral:sRNA from 1 species
GCCCAAUUUCGCACGUGCCUGUGGUCGUGUGUCAGUCGGUAGGUAUCCGGACAAGAGGCCGGACAGCCGCCAAGGGGACGAAGAACCGAGGGUCGCUUCAGUCGUGAGACUCAAGAGGCCAGCAUCUCUCUCAAGGGAUGCCGUUGAAGGUGACUUCUCUCCUUGCAACCGUGACUGGCAGCCGGAGGCGAACCGGCGCACCCCGCUCUCAACGGGGGACGCGACUUAAAGCAACGACGGAUCGGGCUUUU